rnacentral:rRNA from 1 species
UACGAAGGGGACUAGCGUUGUUCGGAAUUACUGGGCGUAAAGCGCACGUAGGCGGUAUUUGAUAGUCAGGGGUGAAAUCCCGGGGCUCAACCUCGGAACUGCCUUUGAUACUGCAAAUCUCGAGUCCGAUAGAGGUGGGUGGAAUUCCUAGUGUAGAGGUGAAAUUCGUAGAUAUUAGGAAGAACACCGGUGGCGAAGGCGGCCCACUGGAUCGGUACUGACGCUGAGGUGCGAAAGCGUGGGGAGGCAAACAGG